AAAAAGGGUGAUAAUUGACCAAGGCAAAUGCAUGGGAAACUUUCACAUGAAUUGUAAAGUGAAAAAGAAAAAUAUAUCACUUUAACAAAUAGUUAUAUGAAACUACUCACUUUUCUUCCUUCUGAACACAUGGAACUAAGAGUGUAGAAGAAAACUUUCUUCUUUAUUACUGGUUGUGGAAAAUUCCUUCAUAGGUUUCCUAUAUUAUCUAAUACUUGAACAUUCAGUCAAAGUUAACAUGUAAUCAACCAGAACGCUUCACAGAAUGUUGCCUUUGAAAAAAAGAAAAGAAAAAAAGAAAAGAAAAUUUUGCUAUCAGCUCUCCAUAACCUAUUAACAGCUACAUAUAUAUGACCAUUUUAUAGCCCUAGAAACAAGCUUAUGGUAAAUUUCUCUAGAAAGAAAAAGAAACUAGCUAGCAUUAAUCAUGCCUAUGAUUAUGUUUCUAUUUUAGAUUCAUUCUUUUUGUUAUCAUAUGUUUCAUCCAUGAAAAGCCUUCGCCUUUUGUAUCUUAAAAAUGGUUUCAACUUUCAAGUGUCAGCCGUGCCAGUCUGUGCUGGCUGCCACAUAUCGUGCUGUGUUAGUGCUGGAACCUAGAAUAGGUUGGCAUGACACCUACUCAACUCUUGUUUUAAAACUUUUUAGAUAGAGCAUACUGCUAUCCUGUUUCAGGAUGCUCGUGAUCUUCAAAUGUAUAAUAAUAUAUUUUAAAUUUAAGAAUGCACGUUAACAUCCAUUUCACAGAAAAUACUGGGAAUACCAUGUUAAGCAACCUUAAAAGACACAUUACUGUCAACAGCCUAUGAGAUUACGACAUCAUCCAUACAAUUUAGAAGGCAGUAAAGUAUGUUUAAAAAUUCCAAAUUACAAUAUAAAGAAAUAUAUAGCAAUGAAUCAGAUGUGCCGUUGCUAUAUGCACCACAAAUCACCGAGACAAGUGCAUCCCUUUUAAGUAUGUUACUAAGUUAAUGUUAAACAGCAUAACAAACAAUUUUGAAAAAUCAGAUGAAUAAAUUAGAUGCCUUUUAAUGGUGUCAGUACAAGAACAGAUGAUGCCAAUGAGUAAUGACAUUAGCAUAACUGAUGAUAAGUAACAUGUUUCAAAUCAAUCAUUCUACAUUAACACCCUUGAAUGGGCCUGUGCUUGAUUAAUAACAUCUAUAUGAAACAGGGCUCAUGUUACAUGAAAAUGAAAAAUGAAGUUAAAGAUAUUGAUACCAGUGAACAAUCUUAUAGUAAGCCUUAGAUAUUUUCAGAUGCCCCCAUUGGAGGGUAUAACACAUUAAAACCGUAACUCUACCAGCAGAAAGAAGGACCAAACCUUCCCAUAAAACAAUGAAAAUUCAAUUAAUUAUUGAUCUUCAAUUGAAAAUUUAUAACUAUUCAUGAACAUAUUGUAGGAAAUGAAACAAAAGAAGACAGAAGAAUAACUUCUAAGAUGUAAGAGACGUACAGCUUUUAUAUUUUCCCUCUUAUAAUCUAUAACACGAUCAACCCCUAAAGACCUCAAAAGUGCAGCUUUUUUUUCACCUCCACAUGUUGCAACCACCUUGUUUCCUGCCAAUUUUGCAAGCUAACACAGCACAUUGAAGAUAAUUUAGGAACCAUAAAGUCACAUAAAACUGGCAUGCGAGCUAAGCUAUUCUAUACACAUUUCAAACAAUAUAUACAAAAUUCCUAUCUGUACAGAAUAGUUCUCCAUUAAGCUUCCAACACCCAUUUUACUUUUUACACUGCCAGAAUAAUAUAAAAAUGUUUCAUCAAUUAUAUAUAUUAGAAAAGACAUUGAAUAUAUGUAAUAAUUGAACUUCUCAAAACAUUUUUGAAAGGAAAACAGAAUAAAUUCUGAAAUAUAAAAUGGAAAAGCCAAGGUUCGCUGUAUCCGUACUGAAGCGUGGACCGGUUGGUUGGCAGUACAAUUCGGUGUGCCCCUGUAUCAUUCCAUACGGGGCUCAAACCAACACUGCAGGGUGGAGGGAGAAGGAAAGAGAGAGAGGGGGGGUGAGGAAAGCAGAGGGAGAGGAAGAGAGGGCCUCUAGAGGCCCAUCAAGGCCACCGUAGGGCCAUUGUGCCUACUGGAAGGCCGAUGAGGCAUGGGGGAGGGAAAAGGAAAGAGUGAAAAGAGAGGGAAGGAGAGGGCAGAAGAAAAGAGAGGAAGAAAGAGCCUU
rnacentral:lncRNA from 1 species